rnacentral:rRNA from 1 species
UACGGAGGGUGCAAGCGUUAAUCGGAAUUACUGGGCGUAAAGAGUGCGUAGGUGGUUGAAUAAGUUAUCUGUGAAAUCCCUGGGCUUAACCUGGGCAGGUCAGAUGAUACUGUUUAACUCGAGUAUGGGAGAGGGUAGUGGAAUUUCCGGUGUAGCGGUGAAAUGCGUAGAGAUCGGAAGGAACACCAGUGGCGAAGGCGGCUACCUGGCCUAAUACUGACACUGAGGCACGAAAGCGUGGGGAGCAAACAGG